CAAAACGACUCUCGGCAACGGAUAUCUCGGCUCUUGCAUCGAUGAAGAACGUAGCGAAAUGCGAUACGUGGUGUGAAUUGCAGAAUCCCGUGAACCAUCGRGUUUUUGAACGCAAGUUGCGCCCAAAGCCUUUUGGUUGAGGGCACGUCUGCCUGGG
rnacentral:rRNA from 1 species